AGCACAUGGCUCAAUGGUUAGAGUGAUUGACUUCUAAGCAACAGGUCGCGAGUUCGAACCUCGGGUGCUG
rnacentral:tRNA from 1 species